rnacentral:rRNA from 1 species
GACGAACGCUGGCGGCGUGCUUAACACAUGCAAGUCGAACGAACGGGCGCUGCUUUUGUGGGGUGCUCGUUUGCCGAACGGGGGAGUAAAACGCGAGUAACAUGCCCUUGUCUUUGGGAUAACUUCAGGAAAAUGGGGCUAUUACCGCGUAGGAUCUCCUGCAGCAUAGUGUUGGAUGGAAAAUUUCGGCGGUUGGGGAUGGACUCGCGGCUUAUCAGCUUGUUGGUGGGGUAGUGGCUUACCAAGGCUUUGACGGGUAGCCGGCCUGAGAGGGUUACCGGCCACAUUGGGACUGAGAUACGGCCCAGACUCCUACGGGAGGCAGCAGUGGGGAAUAUUGCACAAUGGGCGGAAGCCUGAUGCAGCAACGCCGCGUGCGGGAUGACGGCCUUCGGGUUGUAAACCGCUUUCGCCUGUGACGAAGCGUGAGUGACGGUAAUGGGUAAAGAAGCACCGGCUAACUACGUG